rnacentral:rRNA from 1 species
AGCAGCGUUAUCCGGAAUCAUUGGGCGUAAAGCGUCUGUAGGUUGUUUAAUAAGUCUGUUGUUAAAGACUAGGGCUCAACCCUAGAAAAGCAAUGGAAACUACUAGACUUGAGUAUGGCAGGGGUAGAGGGAAUUUCUAGUGUAGCGGUGAAAUGCGUAGAUAUUAGAAAGAACACCAGCGGCGAAAGCGCUCUACUGGACCAUUACUGACACUCAGAGACGAAAGCUAGGGUAGCAAAAGGGAUUAGAUACCCCUGUAGUCCUAGCCGUAAACGAUGGAUACUAGAUGUUGUGUUUAAUAUGCAGUAUCGUAGCUAACGCGUUAAGUAUCCCGCCUGGGGAGUACGCUCGCAAGGGUGAAACUCAAAGGAAUUGACGGGGGCCCGCACAAGCGGUGGAGCAUGUGGUUUAAUUCGAUGCAACGCGAAGAACCUUACCAGGACUUGACAUACUACAAAUUUCUUUGAAAAAAGGAAGUGCCUUCGGGAAUGUAGAUACAGGUGGUGCAUGGCUGUCGUCAGCUCGUGUCGUGAGAUGUUGGGUUAAGUCCCGCAACGAGCGCAACCCUUAUUUUUAGUUACUACUUAAUUAGGUUUUCUAGAAAGACUGCCGGUGACAAACCGGAGGAAGGUGAGGAUGACGUCAAGUCAGCAUGCCCCUUAUGUCCUGGGCUACACACGUGCUACAAUGGUUAAAACAAAGGGUCGCGAGCUCGUGAGAGUCAGCUAAUCCCAUAAAUUUAGCCUAAGUUCAGAUUGUAGGCUGCACU